UGUUGUUCGUUCGCUACUGUGGAUACGUAGAGAAUGGAAGGUGUUAAUAGCAGGGAUACAAUGAAGGACAUGAUUACAGUUCAACAAUGGUCACUGCCUUUCAUAGUGUAUCCUUUAGAAGCUGUUAAUAUAGAAUGGUCAUAUCUAGCAAAAAGAUAUGAAUGUCAAUAGAAGGUCACUUUUAGAAUGUUGUUUUUAUCAAGUCUCAUAUUAUUUUUAGCAGCUUUAAGAUACAUUUUAAUUCGCAAUUAAAGCAGUUAAAAAUGCGGCAAAGUACAGCUUCAACGAAAUUUUGAUUUGAAAUUUUACGAAAAUAUUACGAUAGCCAUUUUCACAUAUAUUUAAGCAUCUUGGAUAAAUUGCUAGUUGUCUUUGGAAGCUGAAUUGUAUGAGCAUUAACCAUUCACGAGGAAAGCAGCAGAAUUUCUCGUAUGAUGACAUUAUGGAGGGCUUGGUGAUUUUUCUAUUAUAGGGCUAAAUUAGGGUGCUUGUGACAAAGCAGAAGAAAACAAACAAAUAGAUAUAGUUUCUUUGAACGCUGUCAAUUUUCUUUGCAAAAACUUUAAGCCCACAUAACCGCAUUCAGUAUCAUAAAAGACGAUGCAAACUUUAGAAGUUCCAGUAACAAAGAAUGGGCAGAUUCAAAACGGCAUGAGCGGAAAAGUUACAAAAUUUGUCACAUAUGAAACAAAAAGUUGUCUAUAUCUUGGUGUUUAGUGAAUUUCGAUCCGUUGUCUUUUAUGGCCAUUAUGUCUUUCCUUUGGUAAUAAUUAACUUUCUCCCCCUGAUCUACAUGAAUAAUAGAAGGUCCUGCUGCACUUCAUGUGCCAUAUUUUUAUUAUCAUUGAAAAGAAAAUUAAUUCAUCUCAUCUUUUUUCAAAUGAGAAAUAAAUGAAUUUUGGCAAUAUGGCAAAGACAAAGUCUGUAAGCUGGGUGUUUUCUUUAGGCGGUGAUGAAAACAUUUGGACUUUUGUCCUAAACAACGUCGAAAAUUAACAUGACUUACCUGAACAACGACAGCGCACCUGUGAAAAAACUAAUUAGAUUAUUGUAUGCGUUUUUAUUGAGGCAGCCCAUCGGAAAUUAGAUAUUCAUAAUAAACAUAUAUAUAGAAGAAUGUGGAUGCAUCUCGCAGUUCAUUGUACAGAUCAACACUUGACGUUUCAUUACUACGGGAGUACUGUAGCCAUUGACACUCCCUGCUGGAUCAUCUUAUCACACAUUUAAACGCAAAAUUUUAUCAUCGCCAACAGACAAGAUGAAUUCACUAAUAUGUGUCUUCAGUUUGUUUUUUAUCUCACUGUCAUUUGCUGCUCUGGCAGACCGGCGUUUUGGCUCAGAAGAUGCUAUAUCCAAGCGGCAAUAUGAAACAACAUGCGCCUUUUACCGAUGGUCGCAUUGCCCUGGCAAGAAAGAAGUGGACAAGGCUGACGAGAGUUCAGGAAGAAACGAGAUUGCAAAAGAAUUAAAUGGCAUAAAUCCCAAUGGGUAUUUUCGUGACUUCGAAAGAAACAUGAUAGAAGAAGGGCCUUCAAAAGGAAGCAGCGACAACAGAAAGGCAAAUUUGAGGAAGCUUUUCAAAUUUCUGUUUCUGAAACGAAAGCCUGAGAAGUAAGCGAGCUGCUUUGGAAAUCAAGAAGCUGUGAAUACAAGCAUCUUGAAGAAAUCUUGUAUAAAAGUGACUUCAAUUGAAACUUUAUUGUAUUUAAGAUAAUUGUGUCUACAUGAUGCAUAUAAAACUAA